AUUAAGUUUAAUUUAAUAUAGGAUCUGCUCAAUGAUUUAUUAAAUAGCUGCAGUAUUUUGACUGUGCAAAGGUAGCAUAAUAAUUAGUCUUUUAAUUGAGGACUUGUAUGAAAGAUUUGAUGAGAAAUAAACUUUAUUAUUUAUAUAAUUAAAAUUUUAUUUUUAAGUAAAAAAGCUUAAAUUAUUUAAAGGGACGAUAAGACCCUAUAAAACUUUAUAAAUACUAAUUUUAAUUUUUUUGGAUUAUAUAUAUAUUAAUUUUAUUAUUUAUUUUAUUGGGGUGAUAAAAAAAAUUAUUAAACUUUUUUUAAAAUUUUACAUUAUUUAAUGGUUAUUUGAAUUAAAAUUUUUAAUUAAAAGAAAAAGUUACUUUAGGGAUAACAGCGUAAUUAAUUUUUUAAGUUCAAAUUUAAAAAUUAGUUUGCGACCUCGAUGUUGAAUUAAGAUUAAUCUUAGGUGCAAAAUUUUAAGUAUUAGGUCUGUUCGACCUUUAAAUUCUUACGUGA
rnacentral:rRNA from 1 species